rnacentral:misc_RNA from 1 species
AACCAUAGAAACCUGCGGAGUACCUGCGGAGGGAUCAUUACCGAGUUAUACAACUCAUCAACCCCUGUGAACUUACCUACAACGUUGCUUCGGCGGGAACAGACGGCCCCGUAAAACGGGCCGCCCCCGCCAGAGGACCCCUAACUCUGUUUUUAUAAUGUUUUUCUGAGUAAACAAGCAAAUAAAUUAAAACUUUUAACAACGGAUCU